AAGUCCAAGUUGGAUGCCAUUAUGAAUGCUUUUGCUACGUUAUCACAAAGAACUGUAGAGAUUGAAGGAAUCAGUGCAAGACUUUAUAAUGAUGGAGUAUCUAUGAUGGUACAAUCGAGGAUUCACUAGCCUCAAGCUUCAGUACUAAGAGAAGCAGCUUUGCCUCUAGUUCAACAAGGACUGUUGGUCUUACAACAAAAGGAGCCUCAAAUUAGCCUUCCAGACAAGUUUGAUGGUACGUGUUGUUGGGGUAGAGAGA
rnacentral:lncRNA from 1 species